UGUCACACAACUAACUGGAAGUCAGUUUGUGAUUCUCAGUUUCAUACCGAAGCCUACGGGGCGAGUGAACACGUCUGUGAGUUUAUUCAAGGACAUCAAGGGAGAGAGAGGUACCGCAACUGCUCCGCCCACAACCGCAAGGCUCUCCAGAUGGUAGUGUGGUCUGCACAACACAUCACCAGUGGACACCUACAGCACCCGAUAUCACAGGAAGGCCAAAAAGAUCAUCAAGGAUCAACAAACACCCGAGCCACUGCCUGUUCACCCUGCUAUCAUCCAGAAGGCGAGGACAAUGACCCAACACACCUCCAGGCUGUUUAAGGGCUAUUUGACCAGAAGGAGAUUGACGGUGCUGCAUCAGAUGACUUGGCCUCCACAAUCAACCGACUUUAACCAAAUUGGACCGCAGACUGAAGGAAAAAUAGCCAACAAGUGCUCAGCAUAUGGUGGAACUCCUUCAAGACUGUUGUCUUGAUUCAUUCCUCAUGAAUCUGGUUGAGAGAAUGCCAAGAGUGUGCAAAGUACUCACUUUUUCCGAAUUUUGUUACGUUACAGCCUUAUUCUAAAAUGUAUUAACGUUGUUUUUUCCCCCUCAUCAAUCUACACAAAAUAACCCAUAAUGACAAAUCAAAAACAGGUUUCACAUUUACAUAAGUAUUCAGACUCUUUACUCAGUACUUUGUUGAAUCACCUUUGGCAGUGAUUAUAGCAUCUGGUCUUCUUGGGAUUGAUGCCACAAACUUGGCACACCUAUAUUUGGGGAGUUUCUCCCUUUCUUCUCUGCAGAUGUUCUCAAGCUCUGUCAGGUUGGAUGGGGAGGGUUUCUGCACAGCUAUUUUCAGGUCUCUCCAGAGUUGCUCAAUCAGGUUACACUCUGGUUGGUUCAGUCAAGGACAUUCAGAGACGUGUCCCGAAGCCACUCCUGCGUUGUCUUGGCUGUGUACUAAGGGUCGUUGUCCUUUUGGACCUCAGACCCCAGUCUGAGGGGCACUGAGACUGGUGCAGGUUUUCAUCAAGGAUCUCUCUGUGCUUUGCUCCACUCAUCAUUCCCAGGAUCCUGACUAGUCUCCCCGACCCUGCUGCUAAAAAACAUCCUCACAGCAUGAUGCUGCCACCACCAUGCUUCACCAUAGGGAUGGUGGCAGGUUUCCUCCAGAUGUCACGCUUGGCAGUCAGGCCAAAUAAUUCAGUCUUGGUUUCAUCAGAUUAGACAACCUUGUUUCUCAUGGUCUGGGUCUUUACGUGCCUUUUGGGAAAAUCCAAGUGGGCUGUCAUGUGCCUUUUACUGAAGAGUGUCUUCUGUCUGGCCACUCCACCAUAGAGGCCUGAUUGGUGGAGUGCUGCAGAGAUGGUUGUCCUUAUGGAAGGUUCUCCCAUCUCCACAGAAGAACUCUAGAGCUCUGUCAGAGAGACCAUCAGGUACUUGGUCACUUCCCUGACCAAGGCCCUUCCCCCCCCGAUUGCUCAGUUUGGCCGGGUGGCCAGUUCUAGGAAGCGUCUUGGUGGUUCUAAACUUCUUCCAUUUAAGAAUGAUGGAGGCCACUGUGUUCUUGGGGACCUUUAAUGCUGAUUUUUUUUUUUACCCUUCCCUAGAUCUGUGCCUUGACACAAUCUUGUCUCAGAGCUCUACGGACAAUUCCUGACCUCAUGGCUUGGUUUUUGCUCUGACAUGCACUGUCAAAUGUGAGACCUUAUAUAGGCAGCCUUUCCAAAUCAUGUCCAAUCAAUUGAAUUUACCACAGGUGGACUCCAAUCAAGUUGUAGAAAUAUCUCAAGGAUGAUCAAUGGAAACAGGAUGCAGCUGAGCUCCAUUUCGAGUCUCACCUCAAAGGGUCUGAAUACUUAUGUAAAUAAUUUAUUUUUAUACAUUUGCAAAAGUUUCUAACAACCUGCUUUCACUUGGUCAUUUUCGUGAAAUUGUGUAUAGAUUUCUGAGGAUUUAUUUUAAUUUAUUUAUAUUUUAGAAUAAGACUAACAUAACAAAAUGUGGAAAAAGUCAACAGGUCUGAAUACUUUUCGAAGGCACUGUGUCUAUAUAUAGUUUAUUCGUUUAUAUAGUUUCUUUUGUAAUUUAAAAAUAUAUAUAUUUUCUUACAACUGCAUUGCUGGUUAAGGGCGUGUAAGCAUUUCACAGUAAGUUCUACACCUGCAUUCGGCACAUCCCAUAGGAAAAUAUCUGUUUCUUACUCGGAUAUCCUCCAGAUCUUUUGAGACUACCUAGAGCUUCUCAAUUUUGAAUCAUUCUGUGACCAUUUGUGUCUGGUUUAUUGCUCCUAAAGGCCCCUUAGGCGAAAUAUUGAGAUGAAGUUAGAGACUUCUAUGAGACGUAUAUAGAACACAUGAAGAUGAAUUGAGAUGACGGUUUUUGCAGUAUUUGAGAAGUAUGAUCAGCAGAGGAGGUCUCAUCAUUGUAUACCUUUGAUGUUCAUUCUUGCCUCUGUUAUUUUAAAGGAGCAAUAAUAAGUUCCUGAGACAUGUUUGAGACUUUUAUUAGACUAAUGAUCUUCGUCUGAGGUGAUCAUUUCAGAAAUAUCUAAGAAGAAUGAGCCAUAAAGGAGAUCUCUACAUUUUAUGUAUCUUAAAAUUACUACAGAAGCUAUGCAGGAGCUUGAUUAGUGGGAUGAGAAACAAUUAAGAAUUUAAUUUGUUAGCAUUCAUUUGCAGUAUUAAUUAUGAUUAAAAAACAGAAUGAAGACUGAUAGUGUUCAACAAAUGUAUUCAACAGUGCUUAUUAUAUUUACAAAGCAUAUCAUUUUCAUUCCCAGCACAGCUUGGGUUCCAUUAACUCUAAGAACGUAAAGAAAAUUAAUAUUUAGCAUAUGCUCUUGUACCUGAUUUGAAACAUUAGGUAAACCCCCAAAUAAUAUUGUAGAAAUGAAAAUAGGCAGUUGCCACCCACCAGAUGUAGUGAACAUAAAGUCUAACCUACAUGUGACACCAGUAAGCCCAUAACAGUGUGUUCUUAAAUUAACCUUAUUUCAAAUAUGAACAUUGCACAUGGUACACAAACAAAAAUAUUUUAGAACAGUCACUACUCUUUAUGUCCUGCUCUGGUCCUACACUUGUUGAUGAAAUUCUUCUUCAGUUUGGCUUCAUCGAUUCCGGUCCAACCAUCCAAGGUAGCACAUCGCAAGACGUAGGCUGGAAUAAAGUAUUUAAAACAUUUAAUUCAUAUUUUGACAAAUAACACAUAAAUAACACAUGACAAUUCUACUCAAGGACUUACAGUAUGCAAAACACAAACGUCUUAAAAGGACAUUGGGGAUUUUGGUUUGUUUCUGAGGUAUUUAAGCUGCAUUUUUUCAGAAACUUGAUUGCAGUAAUGUAUUAGCAAAUAACAUACGUACAUUUUUCAUCAAGAAUAAAUCCUAAUUUGCUGUAGACAGUUAAGUAACAAAGUAACCUAGCCUCUACCGAGCACCUACCCCGGAUUCGGGAGCACCCCCCACCCCCCCCACACUGAUUAGCAUCGCUAGCAUAGCGUCACAAUUAAAUAGUAGCAUCUAAAUAUCAUUAAAUCACAAGUCCAAGACACCUAAUGAAAGACACAGAUCUUGUGAAUAAAGCCACCAUUUCAGAUUUUUAAAAUGUUUUACAGGGAAGACACAAUAUGUAAAUCUAUUAGCUAAACACGUUAGCAAAAGACACAAUUUUUUUACUCCAACAGUUUUUUCCUGCGUCAGUAGCUAUCACUAAUUCGACUAAAUGAAAAUAUAUAUAGCCACUAACCAAGAAACAAAUUCAUAAGAUGACAGUCUGAUAACAUAUUUAUGGUAUAGCAUAGUUUUUUUUUGAAAAAUGUGCAUUUUUCAGGUAUAAAUCACAGUUCUACAUUGCAGCUGCAAUCUGAAAUAGUGCCGAUGCAGCCAGAACAAUUACAGAGACCAACGUCAUAUAACUAAUUACUUGUCUUAAAACAUUUCAGAAAAAAUACACAGCGUACAGAUAUUGAAAGCCCAACAUCUGGUGAAUCCAAACAAUAUUUCAGAUUUAUUAAAUGUUUUAUAGCGAAAACAAAAUGUAGCGCUAAAUUAGCAUAGCCACGCCAGCCAGAACCAGCUGGGCGCGCCCGACCAGUUCACAUGCACGACAGAUAUAUGAAAUAACAUCGUAAAUUGGGUCUUACUAUUGCUGAUCUUUCAUCAGAAUGUUGAUCAAUGUGUCCUUAGUCCUGAUGAGUCGUUCAAUCCAUUCACAAUGGCAACUUUCCCUCUUCAUUUAGCAUAUGUACUGGUCGACUGGCACGCUUCUGUCCAAAGUUAAAAAACUCACAGAACGGAACACGGCAAAACUCCCGAAAAAAUUCAAAUAAUCUGAUUAAACUAUAUUGAAAAAACAUACAUUAAGAUGAUAUGGUCACAUGUAUCAAACAAACUUCGAGACGGAGAUAGUUUUCAUCCGUAACGGCAGCAAAACAGUAUACAAUCGCACCUGCAAAUCCCGCGAAUCAGAGAACCGGAAGUUGUCGGUCACGCCAAAGAAAUAGGUCUUAUUUCACGUCAGUACAAGAUAAACAAAAAAUUUCUCCUCUGACGUCCUCUUGACACCCAGAGGAAGAAGAAUGAAGUGUGUUUCGGGUCAUAGGUGGCGUGACCAUAUAUAGGCAGAGCGUUGAAGCGAGCAUACACAUCUUGCAUUCUUCUUCUUGAUCAGGGAAAGUGCUGUCAAAAGACUUCUGUUUCACUUAGAGACAAAAUUGAAACGGUUUUUAGAAACUAUAGAUUGUUUUCUAUCCAAUGGUAUUAAUUAUAUGCAUAUAGUAGGAGCAAUAAUUGAAUAAGAGGCAGUUUAAUCUGUAGAGGAAAUUAUGCUAAUGGAAAACAGCACCCCCUGUAUUCUCAAGAGGCUAGCUUUGAGAAAAUGCUUACUUAGAAUUCCGCUGACCUUCUUCCGGUCAAGGACUCGCUUCCCCUCGGGGGAUCUUGCCAUGGCAUCCAAAGGCAACUGAAUUGACACAUUCUUCCACUGAGAAAAAAUGGUCAAAAAGCAAAUGAAACAGACGCAAGCCAUCUUGCCUAGAUCGAUGAGAGGAACAUGCCACUGUCAGAAAACAACUCUUGCUGGCCGAACGGCACCGAUGGCCUUCUCUCCUGUAGCUCACAGUGUUUCUCUCCAACGAUGUCAAUGAGAGGUUGCAGCUCUCGGAUCUGGACUGAGUCUGAGAGGAGACAAUAGCACAUACAGUACACUCGUGGCCAAAACUUUUGAGAAUGACACAAAUAUGAAUUUUCACAAAGUUUGCUGCCUCAGUUUGUAUGAUGGCAAUGUGUGUAUACUCCAGAAUGUUAUGAAGAGUGAUCAGAUGAAUUGCAAUUAACAGCAAAGUCCCUCUUUGCUAUGCAAAUGCAAACUUCCUCCAUCCUUCCCUUGUCACGGAGGAUUUUUUUCGACCUCGUAACUGCAACCAUCACAUGGCUGCCAUGCGGCUGGUGCGUUCUGUCCCACUGGAGCUGAUGCGUUCCAUCCAGUGAGGGCUUGUGCGUGCUGUCCCACGGGGACUAGGGGAAGCUAUCCCACUGCUGGUGGAUGCUGUCUCAACAGAGUGGGUGUGUGCUGUCUCAAGGGGGCUGUGGGAUGCUGCACAACUGGGGUUGGUGCGUACUGUUCAUUUGGGGCUGGUUGAUGCUGUCUCACUAGGGCGGGUGCGUUGCCACCAUAGAGAGGUGGACUGGCUGUGUUUUGUCUGCAGGGGGGGGUAUUGAUCUGCAUCUUCGCUGUUUUCAGACAGUGGGCUCCUCUCAAUUAUUACAGUGUCACUUGUACACAGUGAGCUUUAAUGUUCAGUUGUGGGUGACUGACAUACUGUUGGUUGAGUUGGGCGGCCAUUCUCUUGGUUGUCCAUUUCUAAGAGUCUGUCAUUGUUUUUCUUUCAAACCUUUUUUUCCCAAUCUGGUCUGGCUGCCUAAUGUAUUCAACAGUGGCCCUAUACAAUCUGCCAUCUGACCCCUUGGCUAGAAUGGCUACUCCUGACCUAAGAUCUUGCAGCUGUCUGAUAGGAACGUCCUCUUCACCUAGAAUAUCAGAUGUUUGGAAGAUUUUCGCAGUGUAUCCAUCCUCAAACCUCACAAAAGCUAAAUGUCCUGAGAGCAAUUGAGAAGAGGGAGAGAAAAUGUUAAAGGCGGUCUGCCAUGUGUUACUCAAAAGUUCACUGGUUGAGACACACAUUUGCACAUCAUUAUUUUCUCCUGCAUGGUGCUUAUCCUACUGGUAGAAAACGUUGAUAUGAUUUCAGAUUAGCGCAGUACUUACCAGAAUGCUCAUUUGGGUCCAAUUCUGGAGACAUAUGUUGCACCUUCUUUGUGGGAAACCUUUGUCUCUUUGGAGGACAAUUCUUUUUAGGCUUUGGCAUGUCCAUUCUGUGAAUAGUAAUUUCAAUCUGUUUGUUUUCAAGAAAAUUUGCAGUUUCAAUUGUAAUUUGCCUGCUUUGACCAAUUUAUAUAAAUACAAAUUCAAACCCAUCAAUCACUCAUGAUAUAACGAUAACUACAAUCAUUGCUUUAUCUAAAUUCAGUUAAUUUAGCAAGCAGAUUAAAAUUAUUGGGUCAUUUGGACAGAAGUUAGAGAUUAUUUAGAAGUGCUGGUAGCUAGCAGCUAGCUAGGUAGCUAGCUAAUUUUUAUCCAUAAUUAUACCUUUUUGUUAAAACCAGUAACUUUAAAUCUGAACAAUAGCACUAGUCUGGGAGAUCAAAAUGGAAAAUUGUGCCGUUGUAUUUUUCAACACGCAACUGCUAACCUGGCUGUAGCUAAUGUUGGAAAAUGACCCUGAAAAUUAUAUAUUAUAUAUAUUAUUAUUAUUUCACCUUGGGGUACGAUAAUUUAAUAAUUCACAGAGUAUUCAGUUGAUUAUGAUGCUUACCUUCUUUACUUUACUACUCACUCAUCAUCAGCAAAGUAAUGAUCUCAAUCCAAUCUCCAACUGUCAUUCCCGCGGGUCUUUGACUGGCGUCCAAUCACAUUUCAAGUAAGGUCGUCCAAUGAAUUAUGUGUUCUUUGAAAUAAACGCAUAACAGUGUAUGCCCGGGUUGAUUAGCUAGUUGCCUGAGAGCAAAUAGACUUUAUAUGGUUUUGCCAGGGAGCUCUUCUUACAAACUCAUCAGGGAAAAGUUGUGUCAGUGUUCGCAAGAGUUAACUAAGUAAGUAAAAUAGCUUUAUCUGUUUGUGUUAGUUCUGCAACUUUAUCACAUAAUAUACUUCAGUCGAGACCCCCAUGCAUAUUCCAUUCCAAUAUAACGUUAGCCCAGCUGGUAGCCUUAUUUUUUAUUGUUGAUAUGCAAAACAACACCCCUAGUAUUUCAGCAUGUGUGUGUACUGUUUAUAAGGGACAAAAUUCCUAACAAUUUUAUUUGGCAAUGCAUAUUAGUAUUGCAUCUUAAAUCUUUAUAAGAUGAGGCCUAUAUAUCUUGAUGAUAAUUGAGUGAGCAAACACAUUGCCACACUGGGCUAGCCGUAAUUAGUUGUAUCUCUAUUGAAUAAUAUUGGAGACUCAAAAUGACAAGACCAGAGCAUGGAAGCCGAUGGAGAAGAAAGGUGAAUGAAGACAACGCUGGGCCACCUAAACGACCAAGAAGGAUUGCACAUUUGGUGAGUGGCGUGGCAUUGCUCUGCCAUCUUUUAACAUAGCAGACACAAUUUGAAUAUUGUUUUUCAUUUUACUCCCUGCAGCCUGCCCGCAUGAAUGGAACGCAACCGCCCCAUCAGGACAGAACACACCCGCCCCAUCAUGACGAAUGAACAAUAUUUCAGUAAGUUAUUAAACGUUCUUAUUCCACUUCCUAUGUUUUAUAGUAGCACCCUCUUGUACUAGAAACAUAUUUGCAUAAACAUCACAUUUUAUUUUAAUCACGUGUGUUAUCUUGCCAAGUUUUUUUUGUUUGAGACCCAUGUGUACACACACAGUGAUUGUGCAACACAAUGUUCUACUAUUAAUAAAUGCUGUCUAAACAUACUAUUAAACUGUUGUUUUAUUAUUUGCUGUUACCGGCACAAGAGAAUGUUUCAAUGACCAUUGAAAAUGAAGAGCCAGCUUCCAACUUCAGAUCGGCCAGCAGAGAUACUCCUGAUGUCCUAACAACUGUAUGUGACAAUAUUGAUCAGUAUGAUCCAUCUGAAGCGUUGCCUGAUUUCAUGGAUUGACCCUAUGAUGAUAACUUUAUCUUCAGUGAGGGAUUUGAAAAUGUGUCUAGCGAGGAGGGUGCACAGUCAACAUCCAACGACUCAACAGAAACAGGCAAACCUUUAUAUGACAAUGCAUCCAUAACCGUUGGAGAGUGCCUUUUGGUAAUCAUGGCUUACGCAAACUGUCAUAAAGUAACUGGUAAGGCCCUUAGUGUUUUGCUUAAAUAACAGCAUUGCACUGUCCAGUCUCAGUACAGACUGCUUGGGCAGUGUACAGAAGUUCAGAGACUUGUCUCACCUGUGGGACCGGCAUGUCAGAAGAAGGAUCAGCCACAUCCUCCAUGGAGGUUGAAAUUGAUGCUCACAUAAGAUCAUUGUUUCUCAAGCCUGUUUUUUUUUUCAGGAAAAGCUUAACUUUGGAUUUUGUAGGAUGAAGAAAGAUCCUCACAACAUAGAAUAUACAUAUGAUGCAGAAGUUUACAGACAUCAUGCAGAUGGAGGUGGACCUCUUAGUGAUCCUAGAAACGUCUCACUUACAUGGAACACAGAUGGGGUACACAUUUUUAAAUUGUUGACAUUUUCAGUGUGGCCUUUAUUGUAUCAUUAAUGAAUUAAGCUUUAUUGAACGCACAAGAAAAUGUAAUACGAUUUUUGCUGGGCUUUGGUAUGGGGACUCAAAACCAUCUAUGGUUACAUUUCUUAGACCACUAAGUAACACACUGAGUAAACUUCAAGAGGAUGGAAUUCAUGUGCAACCUGCAGAGGGCUCUGCAACUUUUUUUUUGUGCAAAGUGCUCACCAUUGCUGGCACAUGUGACUUGCCUGCCAAAGCGAUAGUACUAAAUAUAGUGCAGUUCAAUGGGAACUUUGGAUGUUCGAAAUGUGAGCAGCCUGGAAAGACUGAAGACAGGGCAAAGGAGGCAUGUUCAUGCAUUUCCAUUCGAAGAAAUGCAUCCAAAAGAGCCACCACGCAAUAUCAAUCAUUUGAUGAUGCUAAAAUGGCCUGAGACAAAAAACACUGUGAAAGGUGUGAAGGGUCCCUAUUGGCUCAGCCAACUUAAAAGUUAUGACCUAAUCCGUAGCACUGGCAGUGACUACAUGCACUCAGCUGUUAGGAUUGAUGCGCCUUCUAAUGCUUCUAUGAUUUUCCACCGAGUCUUCUCAUCAGACCAUCAGCAUUUCAAAGAAACAAAUUCCUUGACUUGAUGUCUAUGCCCGGUAUUGUGUUUGCAACUCCUUUUCAAAACACACUUGAGAAGGACUAGGUAUGCUCAACAAAUGACUUGUGUUGGAACAGUAUGAAUGUAUAUUGAAUGAUGAAUUAAUGGAAAUAAAUCAUAUCUGCUCCA